CUCGUAGGCGGUUCGUCGCGUCCGGUGUGAAAGUCCAUCGCUUAACGGUGGAUCCGCGCAGGGUACGGGCGGGCUUGAGUGCGGUAGGGGAGACUGGAAUUCCCGGUGUAACGGUGGAAUGUGUAGAUAUCGGGAAGAACACCAAUGGCGAAGGCAGGUCUCUGGGCCGUCACUGACGCUGAGGAGCGAAAGCGUGGGGAGCGAACA
rnacentral:rRNA from 1 species